GUUAUUUCUACCUUUAACUUACGAAGUGACACUAUCAUUUUCUAUAAUGGUUGCCUGUCCUACAGUCCCACAAGCAUGCUCUCAGGUUGUUUUCAGCAGAAAUCAUUGCCACCUCACACUGCUCCCAAGAACACAACUCUGGUGACAAGAAUCAAGAGUCCCAGAGUUGAUCUUUUUCCAUUGAGGGAUAAGGAGAGGACCAAGCCUUACACUGUAGUCAGGGGAUGCAGAAAUGCACAAGAAGAGAAUAGUCUGACUGGACAGAGAAAGGCAGCAUUCAAAGAAGGUACAACAGCACCUGAACUUAAACAUGACACCCUCCAAGAGGAGCGUAAAUCCGCCAUCUGCCCAGCACUGCUUCAGGGUGCACCUGGUCAGAUGUGUGCCGUUGUAAGAGUUGUGUUCAUGGGAUCUACAGACUGCAACAGAUGCCAGACAGACUCUCAGACAAAGCCUCCUUGUUGCUGUUUGUCUCCAGAUAGUUCAAUCCAGGUCUUUUGUUUUGUUUUGUUUUGUUUUUUGUUUCUGGGAAAAUAAAUAAAUGUUUGGAUUUCUAACAAUACUUCCCACCUCUGAGCAAAACUAAUUUAUGAUACUUCAUAUACAGUGUGCAGAAAUUCCAAAAAGAAAGUAUAUCCCUGUCACCCAACCCUGACUUAUACAUGGAGGGUCUGGGGGAGCAGAAGGAGAGCCAGCAGGUGUGGUGGUUUGAAUAUGGUUUGAAAGGGCUAGGGGUGUGGCCUUGUUGGAGGAAGUGUGUUUUGGGGAGUUUCAAAAAUGCAAGCCAGGCCCAGGGUCUCUCGCUUCAUGCUUCGCGCUUUCUCUGGAUUCUAAUGUAGAACUCUCAGCUACAUCUUCAGUGCCGUGUCUGCCUGCAUGCUGCCAUGUGUCCCAACCUGCCAAUAAUGGACUAAACCUCUGAAAGUGUAUGCAAGUCCCAGUUAAAUGCUUUCUUUUAUAAGAGCUGUUGUGGUCAUGGUAUGUAGUCACAGCAAUAGAACACCGAGUAAGAUGGGAAGACAUGCUUUCUGAUUUCUGGUUAACUUGGUUAACUUGAGCUAGCCUUAGAAUGCUUCAGUGUGAAACACUGUAGAUUUGAAAACGACUGAGUACUUUAUGAUCUUCCUGUCAAAGCCCCUUCGAAUACUGGGACCUAGCAAUCCUAUAAUGGCUCCUUCUUUAGGAAGACCAGAACAUUCUCAGUUGCUAGAAAACCUCAGGAGAUCCCAUGUUCCAGAAUUUCCCUCUUUGGGCUUUAUUCUCUAUGCAAGAUGUUUGUGGGUUUUCUUAUUGUAAAAUUAGGGUUGUCAUAGAGACAUCUGUUUCAAACCAAAUAUAUUAUGGUCCCAGAAAACUGGGUUUAUUUAUGAACAUGUUAGCACUACUCAAUAGAGGAGCACAGCUCAGGUGGGGAGGCAUCUAUGGUAGAUGGCUUCUGGGUAAACUUAAACCUCUGAGGAUUAAUGCAAAAUUAUU